UACGGAAGGCAGCAGUGGGGAAUAUUGCACAAUGGGCGCAAGCCUGAUGCAGCCAUGCCGCGUGUAUGAAGAAGGCCUUCGGGUUGUAAAGUACUUUCAGUCGUGAGGAAGGUGUUAAGGUUAAUAACCUUAGCAAUUGACGUUAGCGACAGAAGAAGCACCGGCUAACUCCGUGCCAGCAGCCGCGGUAAUACGGAGGGUGCGAGCGUUAAUCGGAAUUACUGGGCGUAAAGGGCACGCAGGCGGUUAAUUAAGUUGGAUGUGAAAUCCCCGGGCUUAACCUGGGAAUGGCAUUCAAGACUGGUUAGCUAGAGUCUUGUAGAGGGGGUAGAAUUCCAUGUGUAGCGGUGAAAUGCGUAGAGAUGUGGAGGAAUACCGGUGGCGAAGGCGGCCCCUGGACAAGACUGACGCUCAUGUGCGAAAGCUGGGGAGCAAAC
rnacentral:rRNA from 1 species